rnacentral:tRNA from 1 species
GCCGGUGUGGCGAAAUGGCAGACGCGACAGACUCAAAAUCUGUUAUACGCAAGUAUGUGUGGGUUCAAGUCCCUCCACCGGCA